rnacentral:rRNA from 1 species
AGGGAAGAAGUCCUGACGGUACCUGAGGAAUCAGCCUCGGCUAACUCCGUGCCAGCAGCCGCGGUAAUACGGAGGAGCCAAGCGUUAUCCGGAAUUAUUGGGCGUAAAGCGUCCGCAGGGGGCACUUCAAGUCUGCUGUCAAAGGUCGGAGCUUAACUCCGUUUCGGCAGUGGAAACUGGAGCGCUAGAGGGCGACAGGGGUAGAGGGAAUUCCCAGUGUAUCGGUGAAAUGCGUAGAGAUUGGGAAGUACACCGGUGGCGAAAGCGCUCUACUGGGUCGCACCUGACCCUCAGGGACGAAAGCUAAGGUAGCGAAAGGGAUUAGAUACCCCUGUAGUCUUAGCCGUAAACGAUGGAUACUAGGCGUGGUUUGUAUCGACCGCAAGCCGUGCCGAAGCUAACGCG